AGAGUUUGAUCAUGGCUCAGAAUCAACGCUGGCGGCGUGCCUCAGACAUGCAAGUCGAAACGAUUAAAGCUCUCUUCGGAGAGUGUAUAGAGUGGCGCACGGGUGAGUAACACGUAAGUAAUCUACCCUCGAGUGGGGAAUAACAACCGGAAACGGUUGCUAAUACCGCAUAAUGCAGCGGCACCGCAAGGUGACAGUUGUUAAAGAUUUAUCGCUUGAGGAGGAGCUUGCGGCAGAUUAGCUAGUUGGUAGGGUAACGGCUUACCAAGGCUACGAUCUGUAACCGGUCUAAGAGGACGGUCAGUCACACUGACACUGAAUAACGGGUCAGACUCCUACGGGAGGCAGCAGUCGGGAAUUUUGGGCAAUGGGCGAAAGCCUGACCCAGCAACGCCGCGUGAAGGAUGAAGUAUUUCGGUAUGUAAACUUCGAAAGAAUAGGAAGAAUUAAUGACGGUACUAUUUAUAAGGUCCGGCUAACUACGUG
rnacentral:rRNA from 1 species